rnacentral:rRNA from 1 species
ACGAACGCUGGCGGCGUGCUUCACCCAUGCAAGUCGAACGGUGAAGCGCUUUCCUUUUUGGUUGGUGUGGAUGAGUGGCGAACGGGUGAGUAACACGUGAGUAACCUGCCCCCUUCUUCUGGAUAACCGCAUGAAAGUGUGGCUAAUACGGGAUAUUCUGCGCCUGCUGCAUGGUGGGUGUGGGAAAGAUUGUGCCUUUGGGUGUUUUCGGUGGGGGAUGGGCUCGCGGCCUAUCAGCUUGUUGGUGGGGUGAUGGCCUACCAAGGCGGUGACGGGUAGCCGGCCUGAGAGGGUGGACGGUCACACUGGGACUGAGACACGGCCCAGACUCCUACGGGAGGCAGCAGUGGGGAAUAUUGCACAAUGGGCGCAAGCCUGAUGCAGCGACGCCGCGUGAGGGAUGGAGGCCUUCGGGUUGUGAACCUCUUUCGCCAGUGAAGCAGGCCUGCUCCUUGUGGGUGGGUUGACGGUAGCUGGAGAAGAAGCGCCGGCUAACUACGUG